rnacentral:rRNA from 1 species
CCAGACUCCUACGGGAGGCAGCAGUCGAGAAUCAUUCACAAUGGGGGGAACCCUGAUGGUGCGACGCCGCGUGGGGGAAUGAAGGUCUUCGGAUUGUAAACCCCUGUCAUGUGGGAGCAAAUUAAAAAGAUAGUACCACAAGAGGAAGAGACGGCUAACUCCGUGCCAGCAGCCGCGGUAAUACGGAGGAUGCGAGCGUUAUCCGGAUUUAUUGGGUUUAAAGGGUGCGUAGGCGGCGCUUCAGGUCAGCGGUGAAAUACCGGGGCUCAACCCCGGGGCUGCCGUUGAAACCGGAGCGCUAGAAUUCCGAUGCCGUCGGAGGAAUGCGUGGUGUAGCGGUGAAAUGCAUAGAUAUCACACAGAACACCGAUUGCGAAGGCAUCUGACGAAUCGGAGAUUGACGCUGAUGCACGAAAGCGUGGGUAUCGAACAGGAUUAGAUACCCUCGUAAC